GUAGGGUGCGAGCGUUAAUCGGAAUUACUGGGCGUAAAGCGUGCGCAGGCGGUCUCGUAAGACAGGUGUGAAAUCCCCGGGCUUAACCUGGGAACUGCGCUUGUGACUGCGAGGCUGGAGUGCGGAAGAGGGAGGUGGAAUUCCACGUGUAGCAGUGAAAUGCGUAGAGAUGUGGAGGAACACCGAUGGCGAAGGCAGCCUCCUGGUCCAGCACUGACGCUCAUGCACGAAAGCGUGGGGAGCAAACAGGAUUAGAUACCCUGGUAGUCCACGCCCUAAACGAUGACGACUAGUUGUUGGGGUAGAAGUACCUUAGUAACGCAGCUAACGCGUGAAGUCGUCCGCCUGGGGAGUACGGUCGCAAGAUUAAA
rnacentral:rRNA from 1 species